UUUUGAUACGUUUGAGACCAUAGACCGAAUACAAGCACAAGAAUGAGUAAGGCAUUAGGUAAACCUUUUCCUUUUACACAAUUUAUACAUCCUUACCCAAAAAUUUAUCCCUUAGUACCCAAUUUUGAGCCUAAUCCUUUCGUUUUACCACCCUUUAGCCCAUAACCUUAAACCUUUUUCUUUUAAACCCAUGUGAUGGAAAUUCGAUUAUAGGAGUCAAGUUUGUAUAGUUGUGAAUUAUUUGAUUGCAAAAAAAAUCAGAAAAUGUUGCAAAAAAGAAUAGAAAAUCAUUGAGAAAAUAACAAAAAUAUGUGUUUCUAGUUUGUGGAAUAAAAGGCGAAAAAUGGUUGCCUUCUAGUUUGAUGUUGGUAGUUAGUCGUGUUUCGAAUAGUUGUUUCGUAAUAAAAAUCGAAUUUUCAUCACCUUUGCCACUUUAAAUAUCCUAUUUCCUACCCUUAGCCUAGCCCCGUUACAACCCUUGCAAAGACCUUAUGACUUGUGCUUAGUAUUCGUGUUCGGUGGUGGAGAAUGAUUGAGUUGCAUGCCUAUGCGGGUACGUGUUCUAAUCAGUUUUGAGUGAUUACUUAGAAAGUGCUAAUUCAUUAUCUAAUUAGCCAAACUUUAAACCGAGUGGAGAGAACAUUGUGAGGGAUGUGCAUGAAUUAUUAGUUUUAAGGGCGGGUUAAUCUUGGGUAACCAUUUUAUAUGUGAUCAUUCACUUUACCGUUAGAUAUUUCGAAAAGUGUAAAAAAUUGAACUGGGUAUGCCAUUAAACCUUAACCUUAGUCUCGGGAAGGGGAUGUGUGUUUCUUGUUCGACCCACGUGAAAGUGAAAAACAGAUUUGCUUGAGGGCAAGCAAACGAUAAGUGUGGGGAUGUGAUGUAGAGUGUGAAACAUGGGUAUAAGAAUGCGUAAUUUGGUAAAGAUACGGGGUUUAGAGAUAAAGUGGAUCGUGUGAGGUUGAUGAAUGCAGCUGUUGGAAGUAUUCGCAUAUGUUUCGGGUUGAAUAAUAGCUCGGAAUUGAAAGAAAUACGAAACAUUAAAGUUGAAGGGCCUUGGUGUCAUUAUUUGAAAGAUUAAUAUAGUGAGAAUACAAAGGAAAUAAAGACUACUAAAGUGAGGGGCUGAAUUGUCAUUAGUUGAAAGUUGUAAAAGAGAAAGGAAAGGAGGUUGUGAUUUGCGCCGCGGGUUACGGUUUUAAAACCGUAACUUACGGAUUGAUGUUGAUGCUUCAUAAAAUUCACAGCAGCUCCUACUUGUGGCUUACGGAAUUCUGUCGUUAACCUACGGUUUCAGGCAAUGCUUCACACAAAAUAAACAGCAACUUGCAUUUGAGGUUUAUGGUGGGAGUAUGAAACUUACGGUUGAGAAGGGUGCAAAGUGUAAUUUAUAAUGUGAACACAUUUAAUGCAUCAUUAAAUUGUGAGACUUUUUUGCAGCCAUACAAGUGAUAUAGGGAAGAGAAGAAUUAAGUCAAACAUUGAAGAAUUAAAGGAGGCACAUGGGAUCAUCAAUUAUUCGGGGGUUACACAUUGUUUUUGAGUUUUGAAUUGAUCUUGGAGCCUCUCUCACCAAGCAAGAUCAUCUCCAUUUCAUCAAGACACCAAUCGAUCAUCCGAUUAAACCGAAUCGAAACCCUAGUUCAUCACCAUUACCAUCAUCUUUCAAUCCUCUCACCACCAUCAUUCAUCACAACCCUAGUCACCAUCAUUUACUAUCUCCAAGCAUCAAGAUGAUCAAGAACAAGUUUCCAACAUCCGGUGAUCACGUCUUUCAGAUCAUGCGCGGCUAUUUCUUGGAGGUUUCACCCCGGUGUAGGUUAUUGUAAGUAUAGGGUUUGAACAAUGUUUUAGUUUGAUUUUGUGACAACUUGAAUUGUAUUUGAAUUGGUUGACAAUUAUCUUGCAUUUGAAUUAUAUUUGUGAAUGGUCGAGU
rnacentral:lncRNA from 1 species